UUGUGCGAUCAUAACAGCGUUAAUGCACCAGAUCCCAUCAGGAGUUCGGAGUUAAGCAUGCUUGAGAUAGAGUAGUAUUGGGAUGGGUGACCUCUCAGGAAGUCCUAGUGUUGCACCCU
rnacentral:rRNA from 1 species